rnacentral:rRNA from 1 species
CGUAUGCAACCUGCCCCCAUCAGGGGAAUAGCCCGCCGAAAGGCGGAUUAAUGCCCCAUAGGCCCAGGGCGCCGCAUGGCGCUAUGGGUAAAGCUCCGGCGGAUGGGGAUGGGCAUGCGUGCCAUUAGCUAGUUGGGCGGUAACGGCGCACCAGGCGACGAUGGCUAGGGGUCUGAGAGGAUGGUCCCCCACACUGGUACUGAGACACGGACCAGACUCCUACGGGAGGCAGCAGUGAGGAAUAUUGGUCAAUGGCGGAAGCCUGAACCAGCCAUGCCCGCGUGCAGGAUGACGGCCCUACGGGUUGUAAACUGCUUUUCCCCGGGAAGAAUAACGCCCCUCGUGAGGGGUGAUGCCGGUACCGGGGGAAUAAGGAUCGGCUAACUCCGUGCCAGCAGCAGC